UACAGAGGGUGCGAGCGUUAAUCGGAAUUACUGGGCGUAAAGCGUGCGUAGACGGUUAUUUAAGUCGGGUGUGAAAGCCCCGGGCUCAACCUGGGAAUUGCAUUCGAGACUGAAUAGCUAGGGUACGGUAGAGGGAAGUGGAAUUUCCGGUGUAGCGGUGAAAUGCGUAGAUAUCGGGAGGAACACCUGUGGCGAAAGCGGCUCUCUGGACCACAACUGACGCUGAGGCGCGAAAGCUAGGGGAGCAAACAGG
rnacentral:rRNA from 1 species